CCUACGGGGUGCAGCAGUGAGGAAUAUUGGUCAAUGGACGAGAGUCUGAACCAGCCAAGUAGCGUGAAGGAUGACUGCCCUAUGGGUUGUAAACUUCUUUUAUAUGGGAAUAAAACGUUCCACGUGUGGGAUUUUGUAUGUACCAUAUGAAUAAGGAUCGGCUAACUCCGUGCCAGCAGCCGCGGUAAUACGGAGGAUCCGAGCGUUAUCCGGAUUUAUUGGGUUUAAAGGGAGCGUAGGUGGAUUGUUAAGUCAGUUGUGAAAGUUUGCGGCUCAACCGUAAAAUUGCAGUUGAAACUGGCAGUCUUGAGUACAGUAGAGGUGGGCGGAAUUCGUGGUGUAGCGGUGAAAUGCUUAGAUAUCACGAAGAACUCCGAUUGCGAAGGCAGUUCACUGGACUGCAACUGACACUGAGGCUCGAAAGUGUGGGUAUCAAACAGGAUUAGAUACCCUAGUAGUA
rnacentral:rRNA from 1 species